UGGGGAAUAUUGCACAAUGGGCGAAAGCCUGAUGCAGCAACGCCGCGUGAGGGACGACGGCCUUCGGGUUGUAAACCUCUUUUAGCAAGGAAGAAGCGAAAGUGACGGUACUUGCAGAAAAAGCGCCGGCUAACUACGUGCCAGCAGCCGCGGUAAUACGUAGGGCGCAAGCGUUAUCCGGAAUUAUUGGGCGUAAAGAGCUCGUAGGCGGUUUGUCGCGUCUGCUGUGAAAACCCGAGGCUCAACCUCGGGCCUGCAGUGGGUACGGGCAGACUAGAGUGCGGUAGGGGAGAUUGGAACUCCUGGUGUAGCGGUGGAAUGCGCGGAUAUCAGGAAGAACACCGAUGGCGAAGGCAGAUCUCUGGGCCGUAACUGACGCUGAGGAGCGAAAGGGUGGGGAGCAAACAGGCUUAGAUACCCUGGUAGUCCACCCCGUAAACGUUGGGAACUAGUUGUGGGGUCCAUUCCACGGAUUCCGUGACGCAGCUAACGCAUUAAGUUCCCCGCCUGGGGAGUACGGCCGCAAGGCUAAAACUUGAAAGGAAUUGACGGGGUCAUAGCUGUUUCCU
rnacentral:rRNA from 1 species